rnacentral:snRNA from 1 species
AGCUUUGCGCAGAGGCGAUAUCGUAACCAAUGAGGUUCUACCGAGGUGCGAUUAUUGCUAAUUGAAAACCUUAAACUUUGAGUUUUUGGUCUUGGAAAAUUUUGUUAAUUGUUGAACUAUCGAAAUCGGG